CAGUAGCCGCGGUAAUACGUAGGGUGCGAGCGUUAAUCGGAAUUACUGGGCGUAAAGCGUGCGCAGGCGGUUGUGUAAGACAGGUGUGAAAUCCCCGGGCUUAACCUGGGAACUGCGCUUGUGACUGCACAGCUAGAGUAUGGCAGAGGGGGGUGGAAUUCCACGUGUAGCAGUGAAAUGCGUAGAGAUGUGGAGGAACACCGAUGGCGAAGGCAGCCCCCUGGGCCAAUACUGACGCUCAUGCACGAAAGCGUGGGGAGCAAACGGGAUUAGAUACCCGUGUAGUCCCUGUCUCUUAUAC
rnacentral:rRNA from 1 species